rnacentral:rRNA from 1 species
GGUUAAGCGACUAAGCGUACACGGUGGAUGCCCUGGCAGUCAGAGGCGAUGAAGGACGUGCUAAUCUGCGAAAAGCGUCGGUAAGGUGAUAUGAACCGUUAUAACCGGCGAUGUCCGAAUGGGGAAACCCAGUGUGUUUCGACACACUAUCAUUAACUGAAUCCAUAGGUUAAUGAGGCGAACCGGGGGAACUGAAACAUCUAAGUACCCCGAGGAAAAGAAAUCAACCGAGAUUCCCCCAGUAGCGGCGAGCGAACGGGGAGCAGCCCAGAGCCUGAAUCAGUGUGUGUGUUAGUGGAAGCGUCUGGAAAGGCGUGCGAUACAGGGUGACAGCCCCGUACACAAAAAUGCACAUAUUGUGAGCUCGAUGAGUAGGGCGGGACACGUGGUAUCCUGUCUGAAUAUGGGGGGACCAUCCUCCAAGGCUAAAUACUCCUGACUGACCGAUAGUGAACCAGUACCGUGAGGGAAAGGCGAAAAGAACCCCGGCGAGGGGAGUGAAAAAGAACCUGAAACCGUGUACGUACAAGCAGUGGGAGCCUCUUUAUGGGGUGACUGCGUACCUUUUGUAUAAUGGGUCAGCGACUUAUAUUCUGUAGCAAGGUUAACCGAAUAGGGGAGCCGGAGGGAAACCGAGUCUUAACUGGGCGUUAAGUUGCAGGGUAUAGACCCGAAACCCGGUGAUCUAGCCAUGGGCAGGUUGAAGGUUGGGUAACACUAACUGGAGGACCGAACCGACUAAUGUUGAAAAAUUAGCGGAUGACUUGUGGCUGGGGGUGAAAGGCCAAUCAAACCGGGAGAUAGCUGGUUCUCCCCGAAAGCUAUUUAGGUAGC